GUCGGCAGCCAUAUCACCCUGUAGCCCAAGACUGGUUGCCCACUGAAGCUAAGCAGGGCUGAGCCUGGUCAGUACCUGGAUGGGAGACCUCCUGAGAAAAACUAGGUUGCUGCUGGAA
rnacentral:rRNA from 1 species